UUGUCCCGCUACCCCAGACUGUCCAGACCCAAGGUGGCCGCUACCCACGAAACCCCCCUCCUCCCGUCCACACCGGCUCCCCUAGAUCCACAUCGUCGGGCCGCACCUGCGGCCUCCUCCGUCCACCGCCUCACCGAGGGCCAGCGGCUAGCAUGGAAAACCGCCGUCGAGGUGCUUCCACUCAUCUCUAUCUUCCCUUUCCGUCUGCCCUCCUUGGCCGGCAGUGGCCAUGGACAUGGGUCUCAUCGCAAAGCUUGAGACCGGAUCCAGGGCAAACCCUGACCCUCCCACCCCCAGAUCCACGUCCACCAGAUCCGCCCCGGGGAGAGAGACGGGAAGUGUGAAGGGCAGACCGCGAUUGGAAGGGCCAUCUCCUCUCCCCCGCACCUCCCCCCGUACGGGUCACCAUGGAGCUGGGCAACACAACAGGUCGACAUGUCUGCCUCCAUAGCGCCGCCCAGACUAUCGGUUCCCCUGGAUGACCGCCUCCUCCCCGAGCAUCUGCAGCUGCCUGCUGGUCUUCUCCAUGGGAUGCAACGCCGGCUUGGGAAAAGGAGCUCUAUGAACAGGUCAAGGUUGAUGCACGCCGGCUCUCUGUGCCACCGCGACGUGUCCACCGUCCACAUCGACGACUAUGACUGUCAGCGCCUCUUUGCCUGCUGGUGAUGCUGCCACAUGCUCAACUUUCUGGCAUUCCAGGUGAGGCUCGCUUGCAGUGUUUCCUUUUGUAGACCAAGGUUUGCUUUGGUUGAUGUUAGUUGGAGUUGAGAGAAUCUGUUCGUGCUUAUAAUUUUUUUGCCUGGCUGUUACGGGCUUCUGGCGGUUUGAGUCUGUUAGCCGGCGAAUGGUAAGGUUUCAGCUGGAGCGCUUGGCAAUUGGAUCAUUCCAACACCACCAUUAUGAAUUUAUCUGGAGCAGUGGUGCUUCAUCGUUCAAUAGUUCAAACUAUUAUGUAGACACUCAUGUUUAUACACUGGCAAAUACGAGUAAAAUAUUACAAUUUAUCUGGAGCAGUGGUGCUUCAUCGUUCAAUAGUUCAAACUAUUAUGAAUAAUCCUCUUUAUUCUUUCAGUUUUACAAAUAAUUUAUAUAACAACACUGGCAAAUAGGAGUAAAAUAUUUUUUAUCUGGUAGGCCAAACAAAAAAAGAUAGGAUUAUUCAUGUUCAAAGCCAAUUUCAGUGACCAAGUGCCAUGUACUCCUCAAGUGACAUUGUGACAUUAACUUUUUUUUUCUUUCAAUCUCCAAUACUGGAAAGUUCUGGGUGCUACUUCAUUGGAAUUUUGCCUUAUGGAUUAAACUGAAAUGCAAUCAAAGGGGCACAUAUAUAUUUGCUCUGAUGACCUUCAAUUUCAUCAAAUUUGCUAAAAACAAAUUUGUUUAGAUUUGUGAUUUGUUAUAGCUUAAGUAAUAUGCAACUUGCCGGAAGACAGUGUAAAUAAAGGUUGGAAAAGUUAGUUCCGCAGUAAUGUACUUUCUUGGGUUUCCGGUGUAUUGUUUUUACCAAAAUAACUCGGCGAGUUCACAGAAGUUCCUCUCUUUGUGUUCUCGGAGUGAUUAUGGUUUUCUCUACAAGCUAUACUAUAGAGAUAGUGUGCGGUGAAUUUUUCUCUGCUGGAAAGGAGAAGCUGAAAACUGUGAAGGCAAAGAUAUGUGCUCCAGUUUUCUCUGCUGAAAAGGACAAGCUAUACUAUAGAGAUAGUCAAAACGAGCUGGGCUGUCUAAUCUUGAGGCAGAGUAUCCGGAAGUAUGUGCUCCAUUUUCUUUUCAUUUAUGUUCUAUCAGUUUGAAGAGUUCUUGUAAGCUGGAGGUCCCCAGCAAGAAAAGCGAUGAUGUAAAACACUAUGCUUUGUGGUACAGUGUCAAUAUUUCACUCUAAGAAUUCCACUGCUAUAAAAAAAGAAAUCAUCUAAUAAAUUAUUGUCUUAUGAUAGUGGAUAUAAUGCCUGCAAGUUGGACUAAAUCAAAUUAAAUGUAGGCUCAGAAGCCGUACCCGGAAGGCGGCUACUACUCUGAGACCUUCUGCGCCUCCUGCCUUAGUGUAUGUGCAGAUGCCCGAUAUCUUACGUUUUCAGUGCUCGCUUUUCCUAUCUCGGGCUUCUGAAGUUGACUUUUUCCGACCACUCUCUCGUUGGAUAGGAACUACCUGCUUGUGCUCUUUCUUUCAGAAUGAUGAUAUGUACAAUAUACACAAACUGGUAGAGUAGCCUAUUAUGGACAGUGGGAAUUCAGAAUGAUAGUAUAAUGUGCCGUAUAAUAUAAUGUAUAAUCUGCGGUGCGAUGCGCAGGAUUGGACCGAAUUCUAUCGGGGUUGUGUCAAGUUAGCGUGUACGUGCCCAACAUUUUCUAUGCAUCAGGAAGUGUGCAGAAACCAGGGGUGGGAUUGGGGCCUGGGCCAGACAUAAUUCGUAUGUUUUGCUUAUUUCAUAUACUAUUGCUAAGUUUAUACUACUGUUACAUCCAUCUAGCACUGAAUCUUGUAUAAUGUGUCAUGUGUGCUAUGCCACUAACUGGUUUUAUGUUUGGAAGAUUGCAUUAUUGUACUUCCUGUGCUUCCUCUCGAACAUUAUAUUUACUUCCAGGAAAUUAAAAUGGUCGACUUUUCGAAGCCAGUGGGAUGGGUUCACAUAUCAUUAUCUGGCACUGAUACCCGGUAUGCAUUUUGUACCUUAACCAUAUAUUAGUCCUUCGACCGCCUUUUCCUUCAUCUGGCAUUGAAAAUUUGGAAGGUAGCUCACAUUACGCUAUACUAUGCAUUUAUGUUUUGGAAUUUCCAAAAUAGUUAUACUCCAGUUUGACAUUCCAUGCUUGUAUACUAAGUUUUUUAGCGCACUUCCUGUGUGCUCCACGGCCUGCAUAAUUUCAUGGUUGACCAUGUUACUAAAGAUGUAAUUGCUAGCACGUGAAUCUUCCUUGGACUUUGAGAAACUAAUAUAUACUCUAUCAAAGUUUCAGGUAUAUCUGAUGCUGGAGGUCACUCAUUUAACUCUAAAAAUUCAUAAGGAUUUACGCAUGCUUUAUCUUUUAGUUCAUGGUUGGAGUUAUUAUGGUAGAGUGAUUUGGCAGAAAAUGCAUCGCACCCUUUGUGUAAAUGGGAUCAGAUCAGCUACCUCUUGUUUACAUUUUAGAAGUUUGAUGGGGUACAUUUAGUCUGAGAAAUAUUUCACCACUUUUUUUUUAUUUUACAGGUUAAUAAGGUGUAAUUACUUAAUAGAUUGUGUGGUAUUGGUCGAAAGUAUAAAUGGUUUUACGGUAUCAAGUGAGUGCCCAGUUUCUGGCCAUUUUAAGAACAACCGUGGAUACAUACAUCUAUUGUGACUCGGAUGAUCUGUAUCCAGGAAGCAAUAUGGGUGCUGGAAGGCUGAUUGAGCUCUAGAUUCAUAGCAGCCGCUGUUCUACCCUUUUUAUGGAUUACCCAUGACUAUUAGAUCACAUAAUUACACUUUUUUGGUCAACACUUCAGUGAGGUCACUAGAACUAUGAUAUCAUUUAGACCUACGAACCAUGCACAGUUAAGUUUGUCAAUAUAUAGCUGAUUUUUCGCCAUCAGCCUAAUGCGUCUGCCUUUUGGAGUACGAACUUGAAAUAUGGUCUGUAUCCAGGAAGCAAUACGGGUGCUGGAAUGCUGAGUGAGCUCUAGAUUCAUAGCAGCUACUGUUCUACCCAUUUUAUGGAUUACCAAUGACUAUUGGAUCACAGAAUUACACCUCUUUGGUCAACACUUCAAUGAGGUCACUAGAACUAUGAUAUCAACAUUUAGACCUACGAACCAUGCACUGUUAAGUUUGUGAAUAUAUAGCUUAAGCAUAAUUGUGCAUGUUUAUAGUCAUGUGUUGUGAUUGCAUCAUAUAUAAUUUUUCUAAACUUAGCGACUUAUUGUUUGUUUUUUCAUGUGAAGAGAAUAUCAUAUUCGAGCAACCCAGCAUGAAUAGUGUCAGGCAGCACUUGCACAAGGGCUUGACAAGGCCAAGCUGAGUGUUAAACAAGACCAGCGCCAUGUGACAAUCCACACCGGUGAGGAACGUGGGGACGAGUGGGUGCGCAUGCACAGCCUGCCCUCCCAUUCAUUUUGUUAGCAUGUCUUCACAUCGACAUUGGAUUCAGUUCAUGCGAAGAGGGCACAAGAUGCUACAAGCUUCGAUGCUGAGAAUUUCCAUGACUGCGUGUUGUAUUUGCAGGAGUGGCUACUUGAUGUGUAUGUGUGAGUGAUUUAGUAUGGUGUGGAGAAAACGAGAUGGAAAUGUUUAAUGAUUGUGGCCAUGAGUGUGCUUUUUGCUGACUAUGGAUAUUCUUUGGAGAGGAGACUCGUCAGCUCCUCUAUUGUUGAUAUGCCUCUCUUGGAAACUAUGAGCAGAACUGCGGAAGCCCAAGCAGGAGUAGAGCUUGUCCAUUUUGUAUGAAAAAAUUAACUAAAAUGCUUUGAUAUGAUUUAGAGAGUACUAUUUCUUGAGCAGGGCAUUUUGGAGCUCGGGCUACAUGGAGCCCGGUUUUCAAAAAUAUGAAUGGUAGACUCAUAAUUUUUGGGUA